rnacentral:rRNA from 1 species
UACGGGGGGUGCAAGCGUUGUUCGGAUUUACUGGGCGUAAAGGGCGCGUAGGCGGUCAGCACAAGUCAGUUGUGAAAUCUCCGGGCUUAACUCGGAACGGUCAACUGAUACUGUGCGACUAGAGUGCAGAAGGGGCAACUGGAAUUCUCGGUGUAGCGGUGAAAUGCGUAGAUAUCGAGAGGAACACCUGCGGCGAAGGCGGGUUGCUGGGCUGACACUGACGCUGAGGCGCGAAAGCCAGGGGAGCGAACGGG